rnacentral:rRNA from 1 species
UACGUAGGGGGCAAGCGUUGUCCGGAUUUAUUGGGCGUAAAGAGCGUGUGAGCGGCUUUACAGGUCCGUUGUGAAAACUCGAGGCUCAACCUCGAGACGCCGGUGGAAACCGUAAAGCUAGAGUCCGGAAGAGGAGAGUGGAAUUCCUGGUGUAGCGGUGAAAUGCGCAGAUAUCAGGAAGAACACCCGUGGCGAAGGCGGCUCUCUGGGACGGUACUGACGCUGAGACGCGAAAGCGUGGGGAGGCGAACAGGA